rnacentral:piRNA from 1 species
UAAGAUGCUAGGUAAAAAUGCUAAUUAG